rnacentral:tRNA from 1 species
GGGCCCGUAGCUUAGUCUGGUGGAGCGUCUGGCUCAUAACCAGAUGGUCGUCGGUUCAAAGGGUCCCGCGCGCCCG